rnacentral:rRNA from 1 species
GACGAACGCUGGCGGCGUGCCUAAUACAUGCAAGUCGAGCGGAAGUUGGAGAGCUUGCUCUUCAACUUUAGCGGCGGACGGGUGAGUAACACGUGGGCAACCUGCCCUGCAGAUCGGGCUAACUCCGGGAAACCGGUGCUAAUACCGAAUAGUUUUCGCCACCUCCUGGUGGCGUACGGAAAGACGGUUUCGGCUGUCACUGCAGGAUGGGCCCGCGGCGCAUUAGCUAGUUGGUGGGGUAACGGCCCACCAAGGCAACGAUGCGUAGCCGGCCUGAGAGGGUGAUCGGCCACACUGGGACUGAGACACGGCCCAGACUCCUACGGGGGGCAGCAGUAGGGAAUCUUCCGCAAUGGACGAAAGUCUGACGGAGCAACGCCGCGUGAGUGACGAAGGUUUUCGGAUCGUAAAACUCUGUUGUGAGGGAAGAACAAGUACCAACUAACUACUGGUACCUUGACGGUACCUCACCAGAAAGCCACGGCUAACUACGUGCCAGCCGCCGCCGUAACAC